AACGAACGCUGGCGGCAUGCCUAACACAUGCAAGUCGAACGAUUGCCUUCGGGUGAUAGUGGCGCACGGGUGCGUACCGCGUGGGAAUCUGCCCUUAGGUUCGGAAUAACAGCUGGAAACGGCUGCUAAUACCGGAUGAUAUCGCGAGAUCAAAGAUUUAUCGCCUGAGGAUGAGCCCGCGUUGGAUUAGGUAGUUGGUGGGGUAAAGGCCUACCAAGCCGACGAUCCAUAGCUGGUCUGAGAGGAUGAUCCGCCACACUGGUACUGAGACACGGCCCAGACUCUUACGGGAGGCAGCAGUGGGGAAUAUUGGACAAUGGGCGCAAGCCUGAUCCAGCAAUGCCGCGUGAGUGAUGAAGGCCCUAGGGUUGUAAAGCUCUUUUACCCGGGAAGAUAAUGACGGUACCGGGAGAAUAAGCCCCGGCUAACUCCGUG
rnacentral:rRNA from 1 species